UGAGCCGCGCCAAUAUCACAU
rnacentral:miRNA from 2 species